UGACGGGUGGCUAGGCCCCAGGAUAGGUACCUAUUUGGGGACCCCAUAGAGCACUGCACUGACUGAGGGAUGGUAACAGGAUGUGUAGGUUUUGGAGGCCCAUAUGUCCAUUCAUGACCAGUGACUUGUCUCACAGCCAUGCAACCCUUGCCUCCUGUGCUGACUUAGCAGGGGAUAAAGUGAGAGAAAGCCUGGGCUAAUCAGGGGGUCGCUCAGCUCCUCCUAACUGGAUUGUCCUAUGUGUCUUUGCUUCUGUGCUGCUGAUGCUCUGCCCUGUGCUGACAUGACCUCCCUGGCAGUGGCACAACUGGAGCUGGGUGGAGGCCCGGGGGCAGGUGACCUUCAGACCUUGGCACUGGAGGUGGCCCGGCAGAAGCGCGGCAUCGUGGAUCAGUGCUGCACCAGCAUCUGCUCUCUCUACCAACUGGAGAACUACUGCAACUAGGCCCACCACUACCCUGUCCACCCCUCUGCAAUGAAUAAAACCUUUGAAAGAGCA
rnacentral:lncRNA from 1 species